ensembl:lncRNA
AUGACAAAACCGGGACCCUUAAAGAAGGGACACAUCCUCUCGAGAGUCCCCUUCUUGGGUCGCAGAAUGUUCUCCAAGACAAAAGGGGUCGGGGAGCCAUGCAUUCAACCCACCACUUCAAACCAUUUACAAAAUGGAAUUCAAAGACCUCAAGCGGACAUCCUUGCCUAUUUUGGGACUGGGGACCACGUAACGAACACCUGUGGACCAAAGCAACAGAAUUCCCCUCUCAAUGGAUAUACUGCCAAGAAACAUUUAGCUAAUCAGUGGGGUCAUGCACGGCUAGACGUGACUGGCCAGAUUUGUCAGACAGAGUUAACCAGCGUGCGGUGGAAUCGGCUUCCAGGGAAGGACCUACAGCAUAACAGAGUCUCUGUGAACUACCGCUUGAGAGAAUGCAGCUUUGUGGUCCACCGGCACCAGAUCGAGCCACACCCCUUCUUGAGGAAGUGUGCUCUGGACGCGCCAACACAGUUCAGAGGUCAUGGAAACUGUGGAGUGCCUGUUUGUGCAGCAGAGCAACAAUCAGGCUCUGUGCGAGGGGCCCUGCUUACAGAACAACAUGCAUCGGACUGGAUGGACUCAAGUGCCACUCACAAUUCAACCUUUAAUAAGAAUGCAGAACUUUGCACUUCUAACAGACAGGGAACUUUAAGUAGAUGCCUGGGAUGUGUCAUGCAAGAAUUUAAUGGACCUAGUCCGGUGCAUGAAGUUAUGCUAUCUACCAAAGAUGUCAACAAGACCAAUUCUAAGCACCUUAAGUGUCAAGCAAAGGUCACCCAAGGGGAUCUCAGUGGACCAGGAAGAGGGUCUUACGCUUUCAGCUCUAAGCACUCACAAAGAGCAAUUCGGGACCAGAUCCAAAAAGUUGUUGUGAAUCUCGAGGAGGUUCUACACGGCCUGAAAGAGAUACAUCUGGAAAUGAAGGAGGUGGUCCAGAAGAUAGACCUGUUGACGGCUGACAUUGAUAUGGGCAAUGAAGAACCAGGGGACACUUUCAAAGGCAGGAUAGACUCUAGAGUGGCAUCAUCUCAAGGAGUCUGCUCUGACAAGUCAUCCCUCAAAACACCACCAGCAUAUCCCAUAAAAGAUCAAGGGCUGCAUGAUGCAGAUCGAAAACGGGAAUCAACUCAGGAGUUGGUCCUUUCUCAAAGAGAUACAUCAGGGACUGCUUCAAGGGGCAGGAGCCAGAAGCCUCCUCCUUACCCCUACGCCAGCACAAAAGGAAGAGUGAAUCCUAAAGCAAAAGACAAAGGUCAGAAGACGCCACCCUACCCCUUUAGACGGAAACUGCUCUUGACCAUUGUUUGA